rnacentral:rRNA from 1 species
GCCCAAGUCAGGCAAUAUUACUCACUGAGUUUAAGUAUAUCAAUAAGCAAAGGAAAAUAAAUUUACCUUGAUUCCCUUAGUAAUGGUGAAUCAAUUAGAAGAGCCAAACUUGAGAAUUAGGCACCCUCAGCAUCUGAAUUAUAGUCUAAAAAAGUGUCCUCAGUGGUAGACUGGGCCCAAGUCCCCUAGAAAAGGUGUCAAAGAGGGUAAGAGCCCCAUUUGCUGGGGCCCUAUUGCACCAUAAGGCACUAUUUACGAGUUAGAUUGUUUAGGAAUACAGCCCCAAUCGGGUGGUAAUUUCAUCCAAGGCUGAAUAUGAGCCAGAGACUGAUAGCGAGCAAGUACCAUGAGAGAAAAAUGAAAAGACUUUGAAAAGAGAGUCAAAGAGUGCUCAAAAUUAUUGGAAGGGAAAUAGAUAGGGAUCGACGAUAUUCCAUGGUUGAUUGUGGAAUGACAAAAGCCAGUUUGCCAAUUAGCUUGGGAAAUGGAUUGAGUCAGGUGGUGGUGAUGGCCCAAACUCGGGCUUUCGACAUGCCCGCAAAGACAUCAUUGCUAAGAUCAUGGAAUGCAACAAAUGCAAUCUUGACAUGCCUCCUCACCGAUAGACUCUUGACUUUAGCUUACGGGCUUUCCAUUCAACCUGUCUUAAAAAAUGAACCAAAGAGUCUAACAUGUGUGCUAAUCAACGAGCUAGAAAUUCUUAAGACACAAAAAAGUUGAUUGGCAAGAUCCCUCAUGAGUGCACCACCAACCGUUGAUCUUUUAAGAAGUGUUUGAGUGUGUCCAUGCCUAUUGGGACCUGAAAGAUGGUGAACUAUGUUUAGGUGAGGCGAAGCCAAAAGAAACUCUGAUGGAGGCUGACAGUGAUAUUGAUGUGCAAAAAAUUUGUCUGACUUCAUUAUGGGGGCAAAAAACUAAUUGAAUCGUCUAGUAGCUAGUUCCCCCUAAAGCUUCCCUUAAGAUAGCUGGAGCCCUUAGCGAGUUCUAUCGGGUCAAUCCAAUGAUUAAAGGCAUCGAGGGUGCAAUGCACUUGGCCUAUUCUUAAACUUUAAAUAUGUAAGAUGAUGCAGCUACUUCAUUGAGAAGCGCCACAAAAUUGAGAGCUCUAAGUGGGCCAUUUUUGGUAAGCAGAACUAGUGAUGCAAGAUGAACUAGAAGCUAGGUUACGAUUCCCAACUGUGUGCUAACCUAAAACCCACAAAGGGUGUUGGUUGAUUAAGGCAGCAAGACAAUGGUCAUUGAAGUCAAAAUCCACUAAGGAGUGUGUAACAACUCACUUGCCAAAUCAACUAGCCUUGAAAAUGGAUGGCUUUUAAGCGUGCGACCUAUACCCAACUCUCAGGGUAGGGGCCAAGCCCUGAUGAGUAGAAGGGUGCAAUGAUCACCAUAAAACUCGAGGUGUGAGCUCGGGUGAAAUGGCUAUUGGUACGGAUCUUGGUGGUAGUAACAAAUAUUCAAAUGAGAACUUUGAAAGCCAAAAAAGGGAAAGGUUCCAUGUGAACGGCACUUGCAUAGGGGUUAGUCGAUCUUAAAAAAUAGGGGAAGCCUGUUUGAUAGCAUGUCUAACAUGAGCUUUAAAAAAGAAUCAGGUUAAAAUUUUUGAACUAGAACAUGGUAGCUAAGAGCAACAUUGGGGAGUUUGAAGACAUCAGUAGGGACCUCAAGAAGAGUUAUCUUUUCUAUUUAACGGCUUACCCAUCCUAGAAUAGCUUAGUCAAAGGUAGGGUCUAGUAGUCAAAAGAGCACUACACAUCAUAUGGUGUCUAGUGUGCCUCUAAUGGUCCGCCAAAAUCUUAAGGACCAAGUGCCAUCUGCAUCUAGUCAUACUUAUAACUACAUCAAGUCUCCAAGGUGAAUAGCCUCUGGUUGAUAGAAUAAUGUAAAGAAGAGAAGUUGGCAAAAUGGAUCCGUAACCUCAAGAAAAGGAUGGCUCUGAAGGUUGUGCAUGGAGGUCCUAGUCCCUAACCUAUCAGCUACCAGUGCACUACUUGAGUUGUUCUUCUGGCAAGAGCAUGAUGAUGCAUGUUAGUCGAGGGAUGAACUAGGAAUGGCUCCCUCAGAGGCCUUCCCCGGGCAAUGAAUAGUUGACUCAAAACUAGUAUGAACAAGGGGAAUCUAACUAUUUAAUUAAAACAAAGCAUUACAAUGGUCCCUACGGAUGCUCAUGAAAUGUGAUUUCUUCUUAAUGCUCUAAAUGUCAAAGUGAAGAAAUUCAACCAAGUGUGGGUAAAUGGCAGGAGUAACUAUGACUCUCUUAAGGUAGCCGAAUGCCUCAUCACCUAAUUAGUUAUGCAUAUGAAUGGAUUAAUGAGAUUCCCACUAUCCCUAUCUACUAUCCAAUGAAACCAUAACUAAGGGAAUAGGCUUAAUGGAAUCAGUGAGGAAAAGACCCUGUUAAGUUUAACUCUAGUCUAACUUUGUGAAAUUACUUGAGAGGUGUAGGAUAUAUGGAAGCCCUUGGGCAAAAUUGAAAUACCACUACUUUUAAUUUUAUUUUACUUAUUCCAUGAAUUAGAGGCAAGGCACAACUUCUUCUUUUGGUCCCAAUGCUAGCUUCGAUUAGUUGAUUCAGGCAAAAAACAUUUUCAAGUAGGCAUUUGGCUGGGGUAGUACAUUUGUUAAAAGAUAAUGCAGGUUUCCUAAGAUGAGCUCAAUGAUUACAAAAAUCUCAAGUGGAAUAAAAGGGUAAAAGCUUGUUUGAUUUUGAUUUCUAGUAUGAAUACAAACCAUGAAAGCAUGGCCUAUCGAUCCUUUAGACUUUCAAAUAUUAAAACUAGAGGUAUUAGAAAAGUUACCAUAGGGAUAACUAGCUUGUGGUAGCCAAGCAUUCAUAAUGAUGUUGCCUUCUUAUCUUUCCUACCAUUGUGAAGCAGAAUUCACCAAGUGUUGGAUUGUUUACCCACCAAUAGGGAAUGUAUGUUGGGUUUAGACCAUCAUGAGAUUGGUUAAUUUUACUUUACUAACGGUAAGGUUGCAAUAGUAUUCAACCUAGCACGAGAAGAACUAUUCAUUUGCAUAUUUAGUCAUCACACUUGGUUGAAAAGCUAGUUGCAUAAAUCUACCAAGCUCUGGAUUAUAACUAAACGCCUCUAAGUCAAAAUGUAGGCUAGAAGUGAUGCAUGCACCUGCUGCCCAAUUGCUUACUUGCAUAGGGGCCUAUAGCACCUAAAGCCACGUGUCGUUGGUGUAGCUCUAACUGUAGACAAGGCGUACUAGUCUUUUCGAAGCUCAAUUCCCACCGAACGGUGGGUAAAAU